AUUGAACGCUGGCGGAAUGCUUUACACAUGCAAGUCGAACGGCAGCACGGGGGCAGCCCUGGUGGCGAGUGGCGAACGGGUGAGUAAUACAUCGGAACGUGCCCGGUCGUGGGGGAUAACGUACCGAAAGUUACGCUAAUACCGCAUACGAUCUGAGGUUGAAAGCGGGGGACUUUCGGGCCUCGCGCGAUCGGAGCGGCCGAUGUCAGAUUAGGUAGUUGGUGGGGUAAAGGCCUACCAAGCCGACGAUCUGUAGCUGGUCUGAGAGGACGACCAGCCACACUGGGACUGAGACACGGCCCAGACUCCUACGGGAGGCAGCAGUGGGGAAUUUUGGACAAUGGGCGCAAGCCUGAUCCAGCCAUUCCGCGUGCAGGACGAAGGCCUUCGGGUUGUAAACUGCUUUUGUACGGAACGAAAAGGCUCUGGCUAAUACCUGGGGCUCAUGACGGUACCGUAAGAAUAAGCACCGGCUAACUACGU
rnacentral:rRNA from 1 species